CUCAUAUUAAUUUAAUAAUUUUAGUUGGAUAUUUUCUUAUUAUUACGUUAUGUGAAUAUGAUUUAUCAUAUGACCUUCUUUCUGUUUAUUUUUGUGCGGUCUGAUAACUUGAUAACAUUGAUAUACAAUUUUUUCACGUAAUGGUCAUCCGAGACAUUAGACAUAUCCACACAAAAAUACGAGACUCUAUAUGGCUAUAUGCAAGGGAAGAUAAUUAAAGUGUUAACUUAAAUUACUAGCAUAUCAUGAUAGGUUGGUGUACUAGAUGACGAAAGAAUAUAUGAAAAAAAGAAUUGUUUGUUACAAUUAAGUUAAACAAAUUUCAAAAUACAUUAGUAAUAUAACUACAUAUUAAUAUAUCAUAUAAUGUUGUUGUAUGUGUUCAUGAUAGUGAAAUACUUGA
rnacentral:sRNA from 1 species